GCCCCGUGGUUUGUGUAAAGAUUUCAGGUUGGCCAAUAGUGUGGAUGUGGAUGGUGCGGCAGAGGGGACGAUAGCAAGUUGGCCACGCGGUCAACCGCCGGACAUCAGCAUGCCACACGACGCCGGAGAGCUCCAUCAGCCUUGCGAGUCCACGGGUAAGUUCCUUCCGCUCAAUCUGUCUUCUUAUUGAUUGCUUUGUUGCUUUCCCUUCUGUGUUGUUUCCUCUUGGUACGUGAGUUAAUCAUCAUAGCAAGUGGUUGCAAUUUGAUUUCUAUCCUCCUGUCCUUGGCUUGAUGACCAAGUGUUCGACGAAAUGCCCAUGUAAUCACUUUGUUCUAUGAGUAAUCAUUUUUAUUCUGUUGCAUCUGCACAAGUGCAACUGGGCCAUCCAUCUUCCCAUUGAAAAUUGAUGCAGUUGAGAUGCAAUGGCAGCUUUUGCAACAUCGAUGCCCCCUGUAUUGUGCCCUCAAGAUAAAAAAUCCUCAGUUUUGAGUAUUUCUCAAAUGUGCUGUGAACACUCACAAUCUAUUUGGUUAAUUGCUCAAGAGAAGUCCCAUAUCAUUUUUAGAACGUAGCACUGUAUGAUGUCGUUGUGGAAUUGCCAUCCUAGGACUCUCAUUUCAUUUUAGAGCGUAGUAAUGUAUGAUGUCAUCAUUAGACUACAUUAAAACUUUAGCCUGUAAUAUCGUGAAGCAUUCUAAGAAGAAGUGAUGAAGAAUUCGUACUUUCAUAUUCUAAUGUGCUGUACUUAUGAUGUAAUUUUUCAUCCCUUUUCUUCUUCAGCCAUUUGUAGGUAGCGUUGAUGGAGCACUGCAAAAAUCCUUCCAUGUUGGGAGACAAGUGCCAUCAUUACCGAGUGUCCAAUCUGAUAGGCGGAUUCAGAAAUAGUAUGUAUGCUGCGAUAUGUUCCUAUUCUGUUUCACUUGGCUUAACUAUAAUGUGGCCAUUUAGUUAUUUUCUAAUGUAACAUUUAGACACCACUUAUGUAAAACUGUAAAGGGAGAAUUAGCUGACAUGUUAGUUAUGUGACAAAGACAAUGUAGUUGCUUGAUGAUUGUUAAGCAAAAAGGUAGGCUUACAGGGAACACAUGGUACUAAUGCAUGUCAAUAACUUGUGCAAGUACUUAAGUUCAUCUUCUCUUAUUUAUGUUUACAGUUUUGCAGCAAAUUCCCCUUCAAAAAGUGUUGCAGAAAUUUUUGGGAAACAACACUACAACUAACAUCAAAUUUCGUUUUCAGUUCCUAAAUCUGACUAUUUUUUUUUUCGUCCACCAGCCUCCCAUGUCGCGAUCCAUCCUGCGGUCGGAUGCAGAUCAAAUCCUUGGGUGCUGACCGAGGGAUCACCACGCGCGGCCAUGGCAAUCAACAUCAGCAGUUCUCAACGAAGACCACGACGUACAGCCCUAAGCGACGCCUGGUCCAUGACGCCAACCGAGUUGCGCCCUCUGACAUUGUCGAGUCAGCUGCAAGUGCAGAGUCUUACUCUGGACCCAUGCUUCGACUAUCUCCAAUAACCUAUCCAUUUCGGGCUUUCCUGAUAUAUAAGAAAAUUCAUUUGUCAGACACAAUUUAUUGAGCUUGGAUUCACAAGACCGUACGUUGCGUGAGCAUGAGAUGUUUGUGAAAAUACCAAGCAUGGCUACCUUGGUUGCAUCGCACAGCAGGUGCUUCUAAAAUUGCCAUAUAGACAUUGUAAGCCAUGAAUCAAUGCAUGUAAAAAGUUCAUGCGUUGAGACAGGGUCUGGAUAUUAUUUAUAGAUAAUACAUGUAAUAUUUAAGAUCUUAGGUCUAGAUAUUAUUUAUAGAUAAUACAUGUAAUAUUUAAGAUCUUCACCCGUAAACCCGUAGCAACGCACGUAAUAAUAAUAAUAAUACUCCACGAGCCACACAAACCCUAAUGUAGUUUCUUUUAGAUAAUGAAAACGGUUCCCGCGCGACUACGUCAUCAUCACGAUAACAAUAAAAGUAAAAUUUGACCUCACCCAAUCAUUCAUGCUUUUAUAUAGCAAUCUCUGUUGGCACUCCUUAUAUACAUGAUUUAUUAAUUACCUGCUUUAGUGGCAUAAUAAUCUGUCAUAUUUAUACCUUUUAUAUGCCACCUGGCAUCUAACAUUAAUCCAUUUUCGAGUAUGUGUGUUUUGUGCAUGUUAAUAUUUUACAGGAAAUAUGA
rnacentral:lncRNA from 1 species